UUAAAAUAAUUUAUUUGGUUUCAGCUCCUUUUUAAAUCACAGCAAGUAAGAAAGCUGCAUAUUGUCUGCCACACUGUAGGCUCCAGGGCAGGUCAUAACCUCUGCAGGCAAAUUCAGGACCUGGCCCUUCACACCUGGGUGACUUCAGCUUUGAACCUGCACAUCAGUCCAUUCCUCCCCUGGCAACAAAGCUGUUGGCCAAUUAUCUCUGAAUAAGAAUUGUAUCGGAUCUUAAUUUUUAGUAACAAAUUCUGAUAGUUUGUGAAAAAACAAACCAAAACCAAAAAAAAAAAAAAAACCCAAAAAACAAAAAACACAAAAAACCCCCACAAACGAAAAUGAAAGAACAAUCCUUCUGUCUUUCUCAGACUGUUUCUUUCUAGAGCCAAGGGAUGACAUAACCCAUUCAACACGUACAAUGAAUGGAAACAUUAACACAUUAUUUAUGUUCUCAGCCUCUGUGAUGGUAUCUCCUUCAUCAAGAGGACUCACUCAACUGAGAUUGGACACUGUCUUCCAGCCCCUGGCUCCACAAAUCCAGGAAGGAAAAAUUUUCACAAAACUCUGAGAAUAUCUAGGAUGUUGUGGGAUUCUGGUGACGAGGCUAGGAAACAAGAGAUGGGUCCUGUGUUCUGCAGACUGAAGCCUAUGAGCAGACAGAUAGCAACGACUAGCUUACACUGAAGAUUUCUCUCUACCUCUAAGAGAAUGUAUGUUCAGUCGCCGCACCAUGUGAAAUACUACAAUUGGAACCUAUUCUACAUUCAAAUAAAUAAAUUAUUAAUACUCUCUGCUGCUGUUAAACAAGCAUCACAUUUGCGGCGUUGAAAUUCUGAUUUGUCAAGUAUUGGGGGAUGUAACUAUAUUAAACAAUGUGUCUAUGCGAGGGGGAAAAUAUUCUUUAGUUGGGGGAUCUUAAUCAGUUUCACGCUGAGCAAAAGAAAAUUGUAAACUAUGCAUUAAAAGAAGAUUUACUGAAAGUUAUUUUUGCUAGAUCCACUGCAUUCUAAUUCACGGCUACCCUUUUGCUUUCAAUGAUAAUAUACGUAAUCUUCCAGCCACAUUCAUGAGCAAAGUUUGAUGUGGAUUUACACUUGUGGAGCUACAUUACAAUGGGUAGAUUUAAGGUAUUAUAAAAUGAGUUUUUGGAUUUGUUACAGAGGUAUGGAGCCCCUCAGAUACAGGCAGA